UAACGGACCUAACUAUUAAUAUGACGUCCAACACCCUGUUAUAUAUGGAUGACCGGGAAUCGGUCCAGAGAUGAAGUAUUGUGCUCGGGCGACCGAGUUGUACCAGAAAAAGUCGUCUUCUUUACAUGUAUAUGUGAAAAUAGAAUGUAAACUCCAAACGGAUGCCAGAACAAUGAUGAGUUAAUCUGGAAUUGCAAAUCAACUGACAACUACACGUUCAGUCAUCCAAAAGCUACAGCAGGAAAGUGAGAGGAAGUGAUAUCGACACAAUUCUGAUAUUAGCGUCGGUCUCAUCAGUCAGGAUAUGACGUCAGAGAGAAGGACAGAAUGGAAGGGAUUGUUUAACAUUGGUUGAGCCAUACAACUCUACAUGUAAUUGAUCAGUGAUGGGUGUGUGUGUUUGUGCGUGUGCGUGUUUGUUGUGUCACGUACCCUGCAAUAUACAAAUACGCUACCCUUAAUACUCAGUAUCCAGAUUGCUAAAAUAAGAGCCACAAAUCAUAGAUUACCAAUAGAAAAGGGGCGAUGGGAAAAUAUACCACGAGAAGACAGAAUUUAUAGUCACUGUAAUAAACAUGACUUAGCUGACGAAUAUCACUAUCUACUAAUAUGUCCUUUUCUGCAUAACUUGCGUAAGCAAUAUAUUCAAAAGAAGUACUUUACAAGAAUACUUUACAAGACCUAGUACGAUAACACUUGAUAUGCUACUAAAUACUGAAAGUUUAUUAGAACAAAGAAAACUAGCACAGUUUGUAAAAAAAAUCCUCAAGAUGUUUAAUUAAAUUUGUGAGUCUGUUGCGGUUAAACGUAUAGUUGACGCACGUCUGUCUCAUGCCUCGUGUCACCAUAAAUCUCCAUUUGUACCUUCAAUAUGUCAUAGCUAUGACCUUGAAGCGAAAUAAACGUUUGUUGUUGU